UGGGGAAUAUUGCACAAUGGGCGCAAGCCUGAUGCAGCCAUGCCGCGUGUGUGAAGAAGGCCUUCGGGUUGUAAAGCACUUUCAGCGAGGAGGAAGGUGGUGAGCUUAAUACGCUCAUCAAUUGACGUUACUCGCAGAAGAAGCACCGGCUAACUCCGUGCCAGCAGCCGCGGUAAUACGGAGGGUGCAAGCGUUAAUCGGAAUUACUGGGCGUAAAGCGCACGCAGGCGGUUUGUUAAGUCAGAUGUGAAAUCCCCGGGCUCAACCUGGGAACUGCAUUUGAAACUGGCAAGCUAGAGUCUCGUAGAGGGGUAGAAUUCCAGGUGUAGCGGUGAAAUGCGUAGAGAUCUGGAGGAAUACCGGUGGCGAAGGCGGCCCCCCUGGACGAAGACUGACGCUCAGGUGCGAAAGCGUGGGGCAGCAAACAGGAUUAGAUACCCUGGUAGUCCACGCUGUAAACGAUGUCGAUUUGGAGGUUGUGCCCUUGAGGCGUGGCUUCCGGAGCUAACGCGUUAAAUCGACCGCC
rnacentral:rRNA from 1 species